UUGCUAAGUCAUUAGUAAGCGGGAGAUGCAUGGAAAACUAUUAGACCAAUAUCAGUACAAUAAGCUAAGCCAAGCAUGAGCUCGAAACUCAUUCAUUCCUUGCCUUCCCUAUACUUCAAACUCCCUGACCCAUUUCCAUCGGUAUAAAAAAAAGAGAAAGAAAAUAGAACCAAACCCUUGAUCCCUUUCAUCCGACCCAAAAAGAAAGAAACCAAAAACAAUAAGUUCAUCAAUUCUUAUUAAAACCCCAUCAAAUUCAUUAACAGCUAAGGUUCAAACUGAAAUCAAGGAGAAUUAGAGAAAAGUAUUGUUGAAGAAAUGAUUCAAAUUAAUCCAAAAACAAGCUUGGAACAAGGUAUAAGCUAAUAUAUCAAGCAUCGAGAGAGGUAAGUUACACUUGCUAAAUUCAUGAAAACUAAAGUAAAUAAUAAUUGAAUAUUUGUGUGAUUGUUGUGGGAGAUUGUGUAAUGAAUGAAUCAGGAGGAUUUUGGAGUAAUAAGGAUGGACAUUAAAUUGGGAAUUGCAUGUUAAACAUGUUAAAACUAACAUGAAACCUGAGUUUUUAAACCGUGUACGCUAGGUGUUUGUUAAAAUGCAUAUGUAAAGACUAUGUUUAUUUCAAAGCCAAAAGAGUCUGUCGAGCUAGUGUAAAACUCAAAGUCCCACAUUGAAUAUGAUGUUAAACCUUAUCCUUAUUUAUAUCAAGUGUUAGCACUUAGUUGAGUUGCGUCAUGGGUUGGAAAGGAGGUGGUCUCUCGUCCACAUGAGUCUGCAUUGAGAGUUUCUCUAGCUUCAUGGGGUAAUUACUUUUAUGACCAUUCUUACUUGUUAAUAAUUCAGGACAUCAUCUCUUGCAAAUUGUCUUAACAUUUUCUGCUUUUUGAAUACGGUCUUUUCAAAGAAGUUAUAUGACUAAUUGUUCAACUUGACAUACACCUUGGAAAAGGGAUAGUCUCAUCAUCAUAUCAAUUACAAACUGAUAAAUUGACAAUGUAUUGCUACGUACUUUGUCUUCUCACGCUACAGAAUUAGAAACAAAUUAUUAGCUGGGAUAUUUAAAGAAAGGAUACCAGUAUAAUUUAUGUGAUCUUAUCGGAUUCUUGAAGUAAAUUUUAACAGGAGCUGAACAAUGAGAUGGACGACCCUGGAUUAACAUAUAUUACCUAGUCUAGUACAUGACCCUUAAUGUUUAGGCUCAUGUUCCUUGGUUUAAGGAUAAAAGUUUCAAAAGGACAAUGCCUUUUGAAUAUGGGUCCCUGAAAGAUAGGAAAGAGAAAACUUAUCAAGAAAGAAAGAACACGAGGAAAAAUAGAAGAAAAAGAGUAAAAAAAACACAACUAUGUCAAUCAGAUGAGAAAAUGCAGUUUUAGUAACACUAUUCCCUUGGGUUAGCUUUGUUCUUAGAUACAAUAAGAGCAAAAUUACAUCAACAUACAUUUACACAAACAAAAAAGUAAAGUAAGAACCUUGAAACCUUAAUGCAAACUUAGUUUGGGGGCAAACUUAGUUUGGGGAAAUUUGCAAUAAUAUUGGAUUUUACCCAAAUAGAACUUUAUGCAAUUGACCAUUUUUAGUUGUUAGAACUUCUAUGCUUUUUGCCUACAUAUAAUAUCUUAAAAUUUUCUAAAUACUAUGCAUAUCUAUUUGCAUUCUCUAUGGCCUAUUUGGUGGAGAAUCUUAAGUGGAACUACAUCUCCUAUAAACUGGUAUGUCAAUCCUUGGAAUUCUUUGAAGGAGAAAAGUUAUGUGUUUGGUAUUAACAAUUAAAAAAAUUGCCACAAGUGGCCUAUAUAUUCUACUGCACAUAAUGAUUACUGACUAGUAGUCAUUAUGGAAGAAGGAUCUACCACUCAGUACUUACCAAUGAUCUAGGGCUUCAAUAGUUAUUAGGUUUGAAUUCCACAUGUACUGAUCAGUAUUUGUUGUGUGACACUACUUUCUAUGGUAAUAUGUUUCUUUCAUUUUUUUCUAUUCUCCUAUCCAAGAGAUUGAUGAUAGAGUGAGAUAUUCAAUAAAAAUAUAUGGCUAUUUGUAGAACUUGCUGAAUAUUUGAUGAGGUAUAGAAAUGAAAAUAUAUGGCUAUUUUUUUCAUCUCUCACUUUUUAUGGUCCAUGUAAUAACUGUUUCGUCACAUGCACUAAUGAGUUUGAGACUUGAGAGUGAUUUGUGACCAUCAAGCUGUCCUCCUGGACACAAUUUUUCUGUGUUUGAACUUUUUGUCUUGCGUUAUCAAUUAUUUUGUUUUAGAAGUUACUCAUUUCAUGUUGUGGCAAUAGACUAUAAGAUAAGGAAAACAUCAUGGUAGGCAGGGGUGUGUCUUAAAUUCUCAAUCCCCCUACUCUGAAGAUGAAUUUUUCAAGUGAUAUGCGCAUCAUUUUGAAAUCAUUCAAUUAUUAGUCCAACUCCAGCAUAACAAAUCAGUCAAACAAAGUACUUACCAAUGAUUUAUGGGCAAGUAGAAUGCUUGAUUAGAGCUAAAAUAAUAACUUGGAUCUAGAAAACCAUCAAACACAUAAAACACCAUGAACCUCAUCUGAAUCAUUCUGUUUUUUUUUUUGAUGAGGCACACCCUUUUUACAGUCCUUUGCAUGCAACAUAUCAAAAACAGAUGAAAACCCAUUUGCCUUUGCAGCAUGCACAAGGAUCCCAGUAAGCUGAUAUCGUCUCGUCUUCCUAUAUUACCCAAUAAUAUACUCCUCAAAAAACAUCUAGAUCGCUAAAUUAAGAAAUUCUUGAAAUGGGUAUUCUCUGAUUUAAAACAAACAAACACUUCCCUGCAAUAACUACAAUUACAAAUGCCUCUGCAUUUGGGACAUUUGCUGGCAAUUCAUUGAUCUUUUUUGCAACACAGUGAGGUAAAAGACUUGGGGUGGGUGGAGUUGACUUGAGAAUAGUAUUCAAUAGUCAGUGUAGAUGUUGUGAACAACUAAACACUAUAAUUUUGUUAGGAACUUAGAAUAAAUUUAGCAUACCCACAAAUUACUCUUCUCAAGAUCUGCUAGUUUUCCAUCCCUGAAUUCUGAAUGAGAGAAUGAAUCUACUUAGUUCUGCCAAAUCCUUUUGCCAUUUGUAAAUAGAAUCUACUUAGUUCUGCCAACAUAUUUUCUAUCGUGUUGUUUCCGUUGUUGUCCUUGGAAAGUGGUCUGCCAAUGCUAAUCCAAUCAGGAUCCAGAAAUGUGAUUUGAAGAAACAAUUUAUAGUUUUUGACGAGUCUCCAUUUUAAGUAUAGCUGCCAAUAAAUGUAGUCAACCAACACUGUCUAAAUCCCCAUGCCGUAAAGACGUAUUCAGCAGAAGUCAGCGACUCGUAUUUUAAAUGUGAUGCAAUAAAAGCGUUGACCACUAGUUCAACAAACUAACACCCAUACAGAAAGAGCAACACAAAAGGUUUCUUAUUUAUCACCAUCAUCAUAAUCAUCUCUAUCCAAUAAUUGCAUUUUCAUACCGUUGAGAUCCUUAGUUACAGUUGGUGAAUGCCAGCCAUAUUCUUAGCUUUGUGGCCCAAGUUGAUUGUAUCUUUUUUAUCUCAUUAGCCUUGUUAGUGUUUUAUUUAAGUUCUUUUACCUAGCCUCGGGUUGUGAGGUCUAAUGCGAUUAGGUUAGGUAAUUGGUUUCCUAGUUUUAUCUACGUGCUCUAGUCCCAUCGGGAGAUGGGAUUGUGCUAUGAAUUGUAUUGUAAUAUCCAUUUUUUUGCAAUUUUAUAUACAAACAAAUUAGAAAAAAAUAAAAUAAAAUAAUAAAAUAAUUUUAUCCUUACUAAUUAUUCUACUUUGAUUUUCAGGGAGAUCCAAUUGAAGGUUACAAAAUCACACAUCAGAAAAAGCAAACAAACGAGUGGGUACAACUUGAAAAUGAUUCUGCAUACGUAUGUUAUACAAACCUUGCCUUUUUUUUAAAUUUGGAAUUAUCUUUGAAUUAUUUGCAUUUGUUGUUAAUUUCACAAAAUAAAAUGAAAACAUUUGAGACUGAAUGCAUCUCUGAGAUGGAAGCAGAAUCUGGAAAUGUUAAGAGUAAUGACAAAAGGGAGAUUAUGACUCGAGUGUUGGGCAAGAAGGCAGGGAGACUGUUUGGUUUUGGAUUCUUCAUUUAAUGAGAAAGAAAAAACUGCAUUGGUAGCAAAGUUAAAAGCGUCUCACACUAAGAAUGAAGAGCAUCAAUCACCCAUUCAGACACAAGACAAACAGAUUGACAAUCUUGAGAAUAUAAUAAACAAGUUGGUCGACGUCAAUCCAGAAUUUCUACGAUUGAUUCAAGGCAGCACCAGCUCAAGGACAGAAAGAACUGAAAACAACUCUCGAUCAUUAUUUAUGGACAUUCAAAAUUGUUGAACUUUUAUUGUGGACACUACAAAACUUGGAUAUUAAUGUUGAACUUUAUGUUAGACUUGGUAAAUCAUUAAUUUAAAGUACAAUGGAUGAUAUUUGGAUUUUGAUUUUCCUAUUUUGGUUAAAUAUGAUGGAAAGUUAAAAUUUAGUUAAUUUAUUAUUGCGGUUGGUGUUUUGCUAUUGUUAUAGUCCUUAACUUGUUUCAGGCCAAAUAUUA
rnacentral:lncRNA from 1 species